rnacentral:rRNA from 1 species
AUGAACGCUGGCGGCGUGGAUAAGGCAUGCAUGUCGAACGGUUUUCUUUAUUGAAGAAGAUGCGAUUACAUCAAAUUAACAGAUAUUUUGAAAACAGUGGCGAACGAGCUAGUAACACCUUGGUACGUACCCGAAAGUUUGGUAUAGCUCGCCGAAAGGCGGGGUAAUCCCAAAUAGUCCCUUCAUCUAUCGGAUGAUAGGGUAAAGUAGCAAUACGCUUUCGGAUCGGCCUAGGUCCGAUCAGUUAGUUGGUGAGGUAAUGGCUCACCAAGACAAUGACCGGUAGGGG